GGUGUUGUGGCUCAGUGGUAGAGUGCUCACCUAGCAUGUGUGAGGCCCUGGGUUUGAUCCUCAGCACCACAU
rnacentral:tRNA from 1 species